AAUCUUAAAGAUACCCAUCAUCUUCAAUUUCCGGUGAUUUAAAUUUGAGAUAUUUUCUCCAACAAAUUUCUAUUUACUUUUUCGUAUACAUGAACGUAUUCAAAUCGGCAAUUCUAUAUCCACAAAUGAUCGGUUUCGAACGCUCUCAAAUAAAUGACAAAGCACAGUAUAAUGUUAAUUGACCGAACGGAGCUUCAGUGCAGACGAAAAUAUUUCUUGAACUUGUACUUUUCUAUUUUUCAUUACUAGAAGACUAGCUACUCCCUUUUAAGGUUAACCGUCCAUCAAUACUGGAUCAGUGUGAAGGUUCAUAAACAGAUAUCAACGGGCUUGUUAGCUGAAAUCAGAUGAUAUGAGAACAACAAUACGCAAAUUACAAACAUUAUGAAAUGGAAAUAGUAUAAAGAACAAACAACCAGAGCGUAAGACUAUACUCGAAAUCAAUGCAUUUUGCUUGUGAUGACAGCCACGAAUAUUAUGGAUUGUCUUCUUAUGAUGAGGGCUUUUUAUUAUAACCAUAUGGCCAUAACGUUUUAGUCAUCAACAUAAAAUUUCACCGACAAAAAAAACAAAAUUAGGUUGUGACCAGCAUUUGUCAUUAAAAAGACUAUGGUUCCUUAUAUCAGCUGGUUGGUAGUUAUAUCAUUGGCACAUCUUCUUAUUGUAAUAUAGGGGCCUCGGUGGCCGAGUGGUCUAAGCAGUUACUACUGUAAUCACUAGCCAGCCAACACUUGGGUUGUGAGUUCGAACCCCGCUCGUGUGGGUGCACUCGACUCCAAUCUUAAUUGACUAGGAAUGUCCGUUUUCAUAUCGAAGGUCGGUGGUUUUCUCCGGGCACUCCUUAUUUUAAUAAAUAUGACAAUUCCGAGAAAAUUACGUUGACAUCGGAAUAUUUUUAAUUUUUCAAAAAGCACGAAAUACGGAAGUAUGUGACCAAGGCAUGUGGUCCUGUAGAAACAUUCAUAUGCUACCUCGAUUUUAUCAAAUGACUUAUAAAUGCAGCCUUUAUCAGGGCACUACUUUGUUUGCUAUUCAAAAGGUUUACAAAAGGUUUACAAAAGGUUUACAAAAGGUUUACCAAAGGUUGAUCAGUCGUGAAUCUGUAUUUUUUUAUGUUAAAUCACUACAUUUAAAUUUUACAAAAAAUGGUCAUUAUCCUAUCAAACAAAUGUAUCGUUAUUUGAAAAUAUUCUCUUUACACAUAUUUUAAAAUAUCGUGUAGAAACCUCUUCAUAGAUACCAGAAUUAAAUUGUGUACGCCAAUGCGCAUUUUGUCUGCAAAAACUCAUCGAUGACACUCGAAUCAAAAUAUUGGAAAGACAAAAUCAAGUUUUGUUUAUAUUCUUUAGAGUUUAUUUACAUAUUCCCCUCUCAUAAUUUACUCUUACUUGUAUGGAAUGUAUUAUCUAAAUUGUAUUUCAUUUCAUUUCCAGAUAGUUGGAUAUUUUACUUGCAAUUUUCAUCAAAAAACCAACUUGGUGUAAAUUUCUAGUUGAUUGUUAAUGUGCCUAAUUUUUUGUUACGCCUAAGGUAAUAUUAUCAAAAGAAAUAAAGUCCCCAAAACAUUCACUUAAAUUGAAGACAAUCUUCCCUGAACCAAUCAAAAAUCUAUGCCAUGAUAGGAAUAUAUUGAAGAUAUUUAUUGUUAACAGUAAGACGAACCAAAACGUCUUUCUCUUUUUUUCUCUUACUGCGAAAAAAAAAUUCCACUGUAUGUAGACUGCAAACAUGUUUUGUAAUUUUCCUUCAGUAAAUGAUACUACAAGGUUCAUUACGCAUAGUUAAAAAGGAUGUUUAUGUUGAUAAAGUCUAACAAUUCUCUAAACAUUACGCUUGUAACCACCAGGAAAAUAAACUAUUCCUUUCUGCUCCUAAACAAAUAUAUAAUUCAAAUCUCAACCUUUAAACAGAAAAGAUGAGGUUAUAUGUGCACUUUCGAAUUCCAGCAUGGACAAUUAUUUAUCAAUCCAUACAGUUAUCCAAAACUUGUUUUGUUGCCUUUAUUCAUACAUUUGUACUUGUUAAAUAUGUAGCCACGUCAGAUUCACAAGCAAAUCAUCAUGGCGUAUGUUCAGAUUUCGACGGGAAGACUUCAAAUUUAUCAUUAGAAACCCGUAGACAAGCAGGACUGAAACGCAAACUCUACAAAAUAUAUUUUUCUAGACGUCAUCUAUUUUUUGUGUAAAAAGUAACAUUUUAUAGUGUUUCAAUUGUCAUAACUUGAAAGAAUUCCAAGCAAAGCAUUGCUUUUGCCAUUGUUUAUCAAGUGGGGAGGGAAUGUUUUGCUGUUUACGGAGCUCUGGAUGUCUAGUGUACUUUACCAUCAUUCUCAUGUGCAAGUGAUCCUUCUUUUGAAUCAUUUGUGUAUAUUGUUUUUGGAGGUUUUAGUCAGCAACUUAUAUAAUUUGGCAUUGUUUUAUAUAAGUUGGAUUUAGAAUUUUGGGGUUGUAUUUCGAAGAACUUAUAGAUAUAAAAGAAGAUGUGGUAUGAUUGCCAAUGAGACAAAUCUCGACAAGAGACCACAAUGACACAGAAAUUAACAACUAUAGUUCACCUUACAUGCCUUAUUGACUUCAAAAAUCAGCAAAGCUCAUUACGCAUAGUAAGCUAUUACAGGCCCCUAAAUGACAAUGUAAAACAGUUCAAACGAGAAAACUAACGGCUUAAAUUAGGUACAAAAAUUGAACGAAAAACAAAUAUGUAACAUAUAAACAAACGACAACCACUGAAUUACAGGCUCCUGACUUGGGACAGCCACAUACAUACAGAAUAUGGCGGGGUUAAACAUGUAAGUUGGAUCACAACCCUCGCCCUAACAUGGGACAGUGGUGUAAAAGUACAACAUAUGAACGAACUAUAAAAAUCAGUUCAAAAAGAUGUGGAGUUUUGCAUAUCCUCCUUAACACUGCUAGAAAUAAGCUAGAAAGAAAACUUUGAUAUCAAAAUAAGUAAAAUCAUCUGGAGAUAAGGUAAAUGAGAUGAACAGUAAAAGGAUAUACAUAUUUUAACUUGAUUCGACCGUUGAAAGUAGAACUUUAAUUUGAAUGUUGAUGCUGACACAAAAUCGCUGCAUUUAAUGAAGCGAACAAAAUCACAUUUAAGAUAAUGUUCGACAUAAAAUCUUGUUAUUAACUAUGUAUAUAUGUAUUAAUAUUGAUCAUACUGAACAUAAGCUACUUAAGUAACAAUAAAAGUAGUUAAAAACUAUUGAGCAGCCUUAAGGUAAACUUCAUGAUAUGCAGUAAAUAUAUCAUAAUAAAUUAACCAAGUUUUACCUCAUUUAAAGGCUGAUCCUGUAAUCCUAUUCAACGUAAUUGUGAUACUCAAUAUCUUUUACAGAAAAUGUUCGACAAAGUUAGAUAAAAUUUGAGAUGCUGUUUUUAAAGACUGAGGAAACAAGACGUGUUUACCAAAGAGAACCAGCGCUACAACCUUGUCAGAUUUCAAAUGAACGUGGAACACUUUACACAAUCAAAGUUUCAAACAUCUGACAAAAAUGAAUCAACUUCCUGAAAAGACUC
rnacentral:lncRNA from 1 species